GACGAACGCUGGCGGCGUGCUUAACACAUGCAAGUCGAGCGGAAAGGCCCUUCGGGGUACUCGAGCGGCGAACGGGUGAGUAACACGUGAGUAACCUGCCCUUCACUUUGGGAUAACCCUCGGAAACGGGGGCUAAUACCGGAUAUGACAUGGGAUCGCAUGGUCUUGUGUGGAAAGUUUUUCGGUGGGGGAUGGGCUCGCGGCCUAUCAGCUUGUUGGUGGGGUGAUGGCCUACCAAGGCGACGACGGGAGCUGGCCUGAGAGGGCGACCGGCCACACUGGGACUGAGACACGGCCCAGACUCCUACGGGAGGCAGCAGGUGGGGAAUAUUGCACAAUGGGCGGAAGCCUGAUGCAGCGACGCCGCGUGAGGGAUGACGGCC
rnacentral:rRNA from 1 species